UACGUAGGCAGCGAGCGUUGUUCGGAGUUACUGGGCGUAAAGGGUGUGUAGGCGGUUUUUUAAGUUUGGUGUGAAAUCUCCCGGCUCAACCGGGAGGGUGCGCCGAAAACUGGGAGACUAGAGUGCGGGAUGGGAGAGUAGAAUUCCUGGUGUAGCGGUGAAAUGCGUAGAUAUCAGGAGGAAUACCGGUGGUGUAGACGGCUCUCUGGACCGCCACUGACGCUGAGACACGAAAGCGUGGGUAGCAAACAGG
rnacentral:rRNA from 1 species